GACGAACGCUGGCGGCGUGCUUAACACAUGCCAGUCGAACGGAAAGGCCCUGCUUUUGUGGGGUGCUCGAGUGGCGAACGGGUGAGUAACACGUGAGUAACCUGCCCUUGUCUUUGGGAUAACUUCAGGAAACUGGGGCUCAUACCGGAUAGGAGAUCUUGCUGCAUGGUGGGGGUUGGAGAGUUUCGGCGGUUGGGGAUGGACUGGCGGCUUAUCGGCUUGUUGGUGGGGUAGUGGCUGACCAAGUCUUUGACGGGUAGCCGGCCUGGGAGGGUGACCGGCGACCAGGGGACUAAGAGACGGCCCAGACUCCUACGGGAGGCAGCAGUGGGGAAUAUUGCACAAUGGGCGGAAGCCUGAUGCAGCAACGCCGCGUGCGUGAUGACGGCCUUCGGGUUGUAAACCGCUUUCGCCUGUGACGAAGCGGGAGUGACGGUAAUGGGUAAAGAAGCACCGGCUAACUACGUG
rnacentral:rRNA from 1 species